rnacentral:lncRNA from 1 species
AAUUAUGGAAGGUUGGAAACAAAACAAGAAUCAUAUAGUAAAAUUUUUCAGAAUUUAAAAAUGCAAAAAAGUAUUUUUAAACCUAUUAAAACAAAGGAGAAAAGAGAAAUUCCAUAAAAAAUUGAAAACUAGUGAAAUAAAAUAUGGAAAAAUAAAAAUCAGAUGAAGAAAAAUAAAAAAGAAUUUUAGAAAUUAUUUUGGGAUUUUUUGGAUGUAAAAUGAAUUUUAAAAUAAAAUGCAAUUAAAAAAUGAAAAUAGAAAAAGAAUUAAAAUAAAAAAAACACAGAGCGUUGGAUCAAGCCUCAUUAAUUGACGUGGCAUAUCCAACACUCCUCAG